rnacentral:rRNA from 1 species
AGAUUGAACGCUGGCGGCAUGCCUUACACAUGCAAGUCGAACGGCAGCACGGGAGCAAUCCUGGUGGCGAGUGGCGAACGGGUGAGUAAUACAUCGGAACGUGCCCAAUCGUGGGGGAUAACGCAGCGAAAGCUGUGCUAAUACCGCAUAAGAUCUACGGAUGAAAGCAGGGGAUCGCAAGACCUUGCGCGAAUGGAGCGGCCGAUGGCAGAUUAGGUAGGUUGGUGAGGUAAAGGCUCACCAAGCCUUCGAUCUGUAGCUGUCUGAGAGG